AAUGUACUGGGGCAGCUUUGGGGCGCAGCUUGGGGCCCUAAUGCGGCGGUGAGUCCCCAAAAUAACCUGGGGAACCCCAAAAUCCCACCUUGAGAGCCCCUAAAUGUACUGGGGCAGUUUUGGGGGGCGCUGCUCGGGGCCCUAUGGCGGCGGUGAGUCCCCAAAAACCCCCAAAAAUGCCACCUUGAGAACCCCAAAAUAUCCUAAAUGUACUGGGGCAGUUUUGGGGGGCGCAGCUCAGGGCCUUACAGCAGUGGUGAGUACCCCAAAAACCAUCCAAGGAACCCCAAAAAAUCAACUGGGGGACCCCAAAAAUCAUCUGAGGAACCCCAAAAUAUCCUAAAUGCACUGGGGCAGCUUUGGGGUGCAGCUGGGAGACCUACGGUGGUGGUGAGUACCCCAAAAACCAUCCAAGGAACCCCAAAAAAUCAAUUUAGGAUAUUUUAGGGGACCCCAAAAACAACCUGGGGAACCCCAAAUAUCGUAAAUGUACUGGGGCAGUUUUGGGUGGCGCAGCUCAGGGCCCUAUGGCAGCAGUGGGUGUCCCAAAAUCCCCACCUGGGGAACCCCAAAAAUCACCUGAGGAACCCCAAAAAUCACUGGGGGAACCCCAAAAAUCACCUGGGGCACCCCAAAAUCCCCCAGGGGAGCUUCAAAUGUAUUGGGGUGACCUGAAAAUAAUCUGUAGGGAGAGCUCAAAAUGGGCUGGGAGGACCCCAAAAAAAUCCUGUGGGGGUCCCAGAUGGUCCUGGCAGGGUCUCUGGGGGGUCCCCAAAUGUUUUUGGGGNAGGUGGCCCUGCCCUGCAGCCGGGGUUGGGGGACAGGAGGGGUCAUUGAGGGGUUUGGGAGCUCAGGGAAGGAUCAGGGGGGUUUGGGAUCUUUGGGAAUCCAACGGGGAGGAUCUGGGAUCUCUGGGAACCCAUCCUGGAGCUCGGGGGCCUUUGGGAUCUCAGGGAAGGAUUGGGGGGUUUGGGAUCUCAGGGAACCCAUCCUGGAGAUCACAGAGGGGUUUGGGAGCUCAGGGAAGGGAUCCUGGAGAAUUUGGGAUUUCACGGAAAGGAUCCUGGAGAUCACCAGGGGCUUCGGGAUCUGAGGGAAGGGAUCCCAGAGCUCAGGGGGCUUUGGGAUCUCAGGGAAGGAUCAGGGGGCUUUGGGAUUUCAUGGAAAGGAUCCUGAAGAUCAGGGGGCUUUGGGAUCUCAGGGAACCCAUCCUGGAGAUCACAGAGAGUUUUGGAUCUCAGGGAAGGGAUCCCAGAUUUCAGGGGGGUUUGGGAUCUCAGGGAUCCCAUCCUGGAGCUCAGGAGGCUGGGAUCUCAGGGAAGGAUUGGGGGCUUUGGGAUCCCUGGGAAUCCAUCCUGGAGAUCACAGAGGGGUUUGGGACCUCAGGGAAGGGAUCCCAGAGUUCAGGGGGCUUUGGGAUCUCGGGGAAGGAUCAGGGGGCUUUGGGAUCUCUAGGAACCCAUCCUGGAGAAUUUGGGAUCUCAGGGAACCCAUCCUGGAAUCACAGAGGGAUUUGGGAUCUCAGGGAAAGGAUCCCAGAGUUCAGGGGGCUUUGGGAUCUCAGGGAACCCGUCCUGGAGAUCACAGUGAGGGUUUGGGAUCUCUGGGAAGGGAUCCUGGAGGAUUUGGGAUUUCAUGGAAAGGAUCCUGGAGAUCAUCAGGGGCUUUGGGAUCCCUGGGAAUCCAUCCUGGAGAUCACAGAGGGGUUUGGGGAUCUCAGGGAAAGGAUCCCAGAGUUCAGGGGGCUUUGGGAUCUCA
rnacentral:lncRNA from 1 species